rnacentral:rRNA from 1 species
GACGAACCGUGCGAACGUUGUUCGGAAUCACUGGGCUUAAAGGGCGCGUAGGCGGGCUGUCAAGUCCGGGGUGAAAGCCCUCCGCUCAACGGAGGAAUGGCCUUGGAUACUGGUGGUCUUGAGGAAGGUAGGGCGUGCGGAACUCUCGGUGGAGCGGUGAAAUGCGUAGAUAUCGGGAGGAACGCCGGUGGCGAAAGCGGCACGCUGGACCUUUUCUGACGCUGAUGCGCGAAAGCCAGGGGAGCAAACGGG